UACGUAGGGUCCAAGCGUUAUCCGGAAUCACUGGGCGUAAAGCGUGCGUAGGCGGCGUGUUAAGUGUGAUGUUAAAUCGUGUGGCUCAACCAUAUCGAUGCAUCGCAUACUGGCAUGCUAGAGGAAGGCAGAGGCAAGUGGAAUCAGUAGUGUAGCAGUGAAAUGCGUAGAGAUUACUAGGAACACCAAUGGCGAAGGCAGCUUGCUGGGCCUUUUCUGACGCUGAGGUACGAAAGCGUGGGGAGCGAACAGG
rnacentral:rRNA from 1 species